rnacentral:tRNA from 1 species
GGGUGUGGCUCAAGUGGUAGAGUGCUCGCCUAGCACAUGUGAGGCACUGAGUUCGAUACUCAGCACCACA